AACGAACGCUGGCGGCAUGCCUAACACAUGCAAGUCGAACGAGACCUUCGGGUCUAGUGGCGCACGGGUGCGUAACGCGUGGGAACCUGCCCUUAGGUUCGGAAUAACUCCCCGAAAGGGGUGCUAAUACCGGAUAAUGUCUUCGGACCAAAGAUUUAUCGCCUUUGGAUGGGCCCGCGUUGGAUUAGCUAGUUGGUAGGGUAAAAGCCUACCAAGGCGACGAUCCAUAGCUGGUCUGAGAGGAUGAUCAGCCACACUGGGACUGAGACACGGCCCAGACUCCUACGGGAGGCAGCAGUGGGGAAUAUUGGACAAUGGGCGAAAGCCUGAGCCAGCAAUGCCGCGUGAGUGAUGAAGGCCUUAGGGUUGUAAAGCUCUUUUAACCGGGAUGAUAAUGACAGUACCGGGAGAAUAAGCUCCGGAUAACUCCGUG
rnacentral:rRNA from 1 species